rnacentral:rRNA from 1 species
UACGUAGGGCGCAAGCGUUAUCCGGAAUUAUUGGGCGUAAAGAGCGUGUAGGCGGCUAGAUAGGUCCGUUGUGAAAACUCGAGGCUCAACCUCGAGACGUCGAUGGAAACCAUCUGGCUAGAGUCCGGAAGAGGAGAGUGGAAUUCCUGGUGUAGCGGUGAAAUGCGCAGAUAUCAGGAAGAACACCCGUGGCGAAGGCGGCUCUCUGGUACGUGACUGACGCUGAGACGCGAAAGCGUGGGGAGCAAACAGG